rnacentral:lncRNA from 1 species
AUUUGAGAGUGAGGAAGAGGAGGAUGAAGAGGAUGAGGAAGAUGAGGAAGAAGAGGAAGAUCCAGGCAGGAAAAAUUGGAAAAAAAGGGGGAAAAUAGAGGAAAAAUCCCAAAAAAUGACCCAAAAAUUGGGCAAAAAAUCCAAAUUUGAGAGUGAGGAAGAGGAGGAUGAAGAGGAGGAGGAAGAUGAGGAGGAAGAAGAGGAAGAUCAAGGCA